rnacentral:rRNA from 1 species
AAGACGUAGGGAGCGAGCGUUGUCCGGAUUCAUUGGGCGUAAAGAGCGCGUAGGCGGCCGUGCAAGUCGGUUGUGAAAUCCCGGGGCUCAACCCCGGGACUGCGUCCGAUACUGCACGGCUCGAGGCAGGUAGGGGAGAGUGGAAUUCCCGGUGUAGCGGUGAAAUGCGCAGAUAUCGGGAGGAACACCGGUGGCGAAGGCGGCUCUCUGGACCUGUCCUGACGCUGAGGCGCGAAAGCUAGGGGAGCGAACAGGA